rnacentral:lncRNA from 1 species
AAGAGACUCCUGCGCAGGCGUGGUGGUCGAAUAAGUGCCGGACCCGGGUCUGCGCCAGCCGAGACUAACUCGGGGGCGCUGUGAUCAGAGGCCUUUCCCCACCCCGGAUGUGACCGUCGAGAUGACCGGGGAGGUGGCCGCCGCGGGGACCCACGGCGCAUGGGGGGCCCACGGCGCACGGAGGACUUGGGUGGUGAGAAGGGUGCAUCGAGAGCCAGCCUGGAAGAGGCGAACCGCGAAGGGGCCUCAGCAGCCAGGCAGGGCGCCGGCCCGCAGAACCAUCCGGGCCCGCGCGCGCCUUCAGAUGGGCCAGCCGAGCCCGGCGCUCUGGGAGCCCUGGAGCCCGCUGAGAUUUACUUCUCCGAGCCUGAGUUUCUCAUCUGUGAAAUGAGCUGCACACAAGUCCUGCUCGGCCUUUGUUCAUUCAUUGAAUAUUAACUGCACCCUUAACACAGGCUCUGUGCUAAGUGCUUCUUAUUCACAAGAUUAUUUGUGGGGAAAUCAAAUGAGAUGAUGAAAGAAAAAGCCCUUGGCAUGCUUUUAAGCAUGUUAUAAAUGCAAGUUUUUAUGAAAGUCUAAGCCUUAUGUAAUUGUGGUUGGUUUUUAUCAAGAAGGAGGUCAAGCUUUGCAGUUUCCUGGCCUCAGGACAUCCCAUCUCGCACUCCCUGGCCAGAUUUCUUGCAAAAGGAUCCAAUUAGUCACUGGGAGAGUUGAGAAUAGAAUUGGCUCAGUGCAAAUAGAGGACUAUG